rnacentral:rRNA from 1 species
AGGGCAACAGGUGAAUGCCUUGGCGCUGAGAGGCGAUGAAAGACGCGGUAAGCUGCGAUAAGCAUCGGGGAGGAGCUAAACAUCCUACGAUCCGAUGAUUUCUGAAUGGGGAAACCCGAUGGGAGUCAUGUCCCAUCAUCCUGAGCUGAAUAUAUAGGCCCAGAGAAGCCAACCCGGGGAAGUGAAACAUCUCAGUACCCACAGGAGAAGAAAUCAAAAGAGAUUGCGUCAGUAGUGGCGAGCGAAAGCGCAAGAGGCUAAACCGGUCGGUUUACUGACCGGGGUUGCGGGACUUCGAUAUGGCAAGCUGAAUCGAUAGCAGAAGGAACUGGAAAGUUCCGGCAUAGAGGGUGAUACCCCCGUAAGCGAAAUCGGUUCGAAGCCUGGAAGUAUCCCAAGUAGGUCGGGACACGUGAAACCCUGACUGAAUCCGGGGAGACCACUCUCCAAGCCUAAAUACUCGAUAGUGACCGAUAGCGUAUAGUACCGCGAGGGAAAGGUGAAAAAGCACCCCGGAAGGGGAGUGAAAAGUAUCUGAAAUCAUGUGUCUACAAAGUGUCGGAGCGCAAGCGACGGCAUGCCUUUUGCAUAAUGAGCCUGCGACUUACUCUAACGAGCGAGGUUAAGCCUGGUGCGGAGCCGAAGCGAAAGCGAGUGUGAAUAGCGCGUCUAGUUCGUUGGAGUAGACCCGAAGCUGAGUGAUCUAUCCAUGGCCAGGUUGAAUCUGCGGUAACACGCAGUGGAGGACCGAACCAGUUCAUGUUGAAAAAUGUUUGGAUGAGCUGUGGAUAGGGGUGAAAGGCCAAUCAAACUCAGUGAUAGCUGGUUCUCUUCGAAAUAGCUUUAGGGCUAGCCUUGCGUAAAUAGUUUGUGGGGGUAGAGCUACUGAUUGUUCGCGGGCCCUUACCGGGGUACCAAGAACUAUUAAACUCCGAAUACCAUAAACCGUACCGCAGGAGUCAGACUAUGGGGGAUAAGCUUCAUGGUCGAGAGGGAGACAGCCCAGACCGCCGGCUAAGGUCCCCAAUCUGGACUUAGUGGUUUGAAGGAUGUGAUGUUGCAUAAACAGCCAGGAUGUUGGCUUAGAGGCAGCCAUCAUUUAAAGAGUGCGUAAUAGCUCACUGGUCGAGUGAUAUCGCGCCGAAGAUGAUCGGGACUGAAGUUCAGAACCGAAGCCGCGGAUCGUGAAUUUAUUCACGGUGGUAGAAGAGCGUUGUAUGCGGGUUGAAGCCGAAGAGGGAUCUGAGGUGGACUGCAUACAAGUGACCAUGCAGGCAUGAGUAGCGAAAAACCGGAUGAGAAUUCCGGUCACCGAAAACCCAAGGUUUCCCGGGGAAGGUUCGUCCGCCCGGGGUUAGUCGGAUCCUAAGGCGAGGCUGAAAAGCGUAGUCGAUGGACAACAGGUUAAUAUUCCUGUACUGCCUUGUCGGAGUGAUGGAGGGACGCAGAGAGUCAGGUGAGCCGGCUGCUGAAUAUGCCGGUCGAAGCCCGUGGGACGUGCUGUUGGCAAAUCCGCAGCACACUAGUCUGAGAGGCGUAAGGUAGCCGAACGCAAGUUUGGCGAAUUCACUGCGACUGCACUGACGAGAAAAGCUUCUAAACGAUGAUGACAGGGUAUCCGUACCGUAAACCGACACAGGUGGGUGAGGCGAGAAGCCUAAGGUGCGCGAGAGAAACCAACGUUAAGGAACUCGGCAAAUUAGCCCCGUAACUUCGGAAUAAGGGGUGCCGCCUCUGGUGAAGGGAUUUACUCCCCGAGCUUAGGGCGGUUGCAAUAAAGAGGCCGGUGCGACUGUUUAACAAAAACACAGCUCUAUGCCAACUCGUAAGAGGAUGUAUAUGGAGUGACACGUGACCAAUGCCAAAAGGUCAAUGGGAGAGGUUAGCGCAAGCGAAGCUUCGAUCUGAAGCCCUGGUGAAUGUCGGCCGUAACUAUAACGGUCCUAAGGUAGCGAAAUUCCUUGUCGGGUAAGUUCCGACCUGCACGAAUCGUGAAACGAGUUGGGCACUGUCUCAACCAGGCGCUCAGUGAAAUUGUAGUGGCGGUGAAGAUGCCGCCUACCCGCAGAAGGACGGAAAGACCCUAUAGACCUUAACUGUAAGCUGUCAUUGUUUCUUCGGUUUUAAUGCUCAGAGUAAGUGGGAGACGCUGAAGACGCCCUUUAGGGGGCGUCCGAGUCAUCAAUGAGACACCACCCUUUGAAACUGGAGGAUCUAACCCUGAGCCGUGAAUCCGGCCAGAGGACCGUGUCAGCCGGUCAGUUUUACUGGGGCGGUAUCCUCCCAAAGAGUAACGGAGGAGCGCGAAGGUGGGCUCAGCCCGGUUGGCAACCGGGUGUCGAGUGCAUGGGCAUAAGCCCGCCUAACUGUGAGACCAACAAGUCGAGCAGAUGCGAAAGCAGGCCCAAGUGAUCCGGCGGUAGAAAGUGGAAUUGCCGUCGCUCAACGGAUAAAAGGUACCUUAGGGAUAACAGGCUGAUCACGCCCAAGAGUUCAUAUCGACGGCGUGGUUUGGCACCUCGAUGUCGGCUCGUCGCAUCCUGGGGCUGUAUUCGGUCCCAAGGGUUUGGCUGUUCGCCAAUUAAAGC